AACGAACGCUGGCGGCAUGCCUAACACAUGCAAGUCGAACGAGACCUUCGGGUCUAGUGGCGCACGGGUGCGUAACGCGUGGGAACCUGCCCUUAGGUUCGGAAUAACUCCCCGAAAGGGGUGCUAAUACCGGAUAAUGUCUUCGGACCAAAGAUUUAUCGCCUUUGGAUGGGCCCGCGUUGGAUUAGCUAGUUGGUAGGGUAAAAGCCUACCACGGCGACGAUCCAUAGCUGGUCUGAGAGGAUGAUCAGCCACACUGGAAGUGAGACACGGCCCAGACUCCUACGGGAGGGAGCAGUGGGGAAUAUUGGACAAGGGGCGAAAGCCUGAUCCAGCAAUGCCGCGUGAGUGAUGAAGGCCGUAGGGUUGUAAAGCUCUUUUACCCGGGAUGAUAAUGACAGUACCGGGAGAAUAAGCUCCGGCUAACUCCGUG
rnacentral:rRNA from 1 species